AGUGAACGCUGGCGGUAGGCCUAACACAUGCAAGUCGAACGGCAGCACAGUAAGAUCUUGCUCUUACGGGUGGCGAGUGGCGGACGGGUGAGGAAUACAUCGGAAUCUACUUUUUCGUGGGGGAUAACGUAGGGAAACUUACGCUAAUACCGCAUACGACCUACGGGUGAAAGCAGGGGAUCUUCGGACCUUGCGCGAUUGAAUGAGCCGAUGUCGGAUUAGCUAGUUGGCGGGGUAAAGGCCCACCAAGGCGACGAUCCGUAGCUGGUCUGAGAGGAUGAUCAGCCACACUGGAACUGAGACACGGUCCAGACUCCUACGGGAGGCAGCAGUGGGGAAUAUUGGACAAUGGGCGAAAGCCUGAUCCAGCCAUACCGCGUGGGUGAAGAAGGCCUUCGGGUUGUAAAGCCCUUUUGUUGGGAAAGAAAAGCAGCAGGUUAAUACCCCGCUGUUCGGACGGGACCAAAAGAAUAAGCACCGGCUAAUUUCGU
rnacentral:rRNA from 1 species